rnacentral:lncRNA from 1 species
AAUCAUCCAAAAGAAGGUUACUCAUUUAACUUGUCUUACACAUAAAUUUAUGCCAGCAACACAAACUAAAACUAACGAACAUUCAUAAUCCACAAUCCUACUAACAAUUCAUAGGGAAAUUAAUAACUAAGCUUCAAAAUCCAUCUGAGCCCAAAAUAGACACAUUGCCAGCAUGAGACUAAACCAACAAAUACAACUACUAGAUCACCAUCACAUAGUAUCCAAAUACACUCCUUUUCACCAUCUGCUUCCUAUUUUAGUUGUUACCUGCAUUUAAUUGUAACUACAUUAAAUUAGAAAUUUAUGUAUCAACAAUUCCUACUGAAUCAAAAUGAAAGAUCAAAGAAUAACAAAAUCAAAUACCUGCAUCCAAUAUAGUCACUGCUGCAUUCUAAAAAACAU